AACGAACGCUGGCGGCAGGCCUAACACAUGCAAGUCGAGCGCCCCGCAAGGGGAGCGGCGGACGGGUGAGUAACGCGUGGGAACGUGCCCCUUUCUACGGAAUAGCCUCGGGAAACUGGGAGUAAUACCGUAUAAGCCCUACGGGGGAAAGAUUUAUCGGGAAGGGAUCGGCCCGCGUUGGAUUAGGUAGUUGGUGGGGUAAUGGCCUACCAAGCCGACGAUCCAUAGCUGGUUUGAGAGGAUGAUCAGCCACACUGGGACUGAGACACGGCCCAGACUCCUACGGGAGGCAGCAGUGGGGAAUCUUAGACAAUGGGCGCAAGCCUGAUCUAGCCAUGCCGCGUGAGCGAUGAAGGCCUUAGGGUUGUAAAGCUCUUUCAGUGGGGAAGAUAAUGGCUGUACCCACAGAAGAAGCCCCGGCUAACUCCGUGCCAGCCGCCGCCGUAAAAC
rnacentral:rRNA from 1 species